rnacentral:ncRNA from 1 species
UACGAUUCCUCUUAUAAAGGUGCCAGCUUGCUGGUGAAACGGGAAAUAGGUGCGUUUUUAGGAAGAAACAACCCCUGUACUGCCCCCGCAACGGUAAAUAAGUGAUGGAAUAUCUGCUCUAAUCCACUGUGAAAAUGGGAAGGAUUUGAGUUUUAUCUUAUGAGUCCGGAUACCGGCCUUUAUGGUGGUAGAGGU